rnacentral:sRNA from 1 species
UACAUGGCACAUUCUCAAACCAAUGACUUCCUUUCUUCGUCCUCUUCUCUAUCACCAUCGCC